CCUACGGGGGGCUGCCGUGGGGAAUAUUGGGCAAUGGGCGCACGCCUGACCCAGCAACGCCGCGUGAAGGAAGAAGGCCCUCGGGUUGUAAACUUCUUUUAUUCGGGACGAAACAAAUGACGGUACCGAAUGAAUAAGCCACGGCUAACUACGUGACAGCAGCCGCGGUAAUACGUAGGUGGCAAGCGUUAUCCGGAUUUACUGGGUGGAAAGGGCGUGUAGGUGGGGGAGCAAGUCAGCAGUAAAAUUCCAGGGCUCAACCCUGGAACGGCGUUUUAAACUGUUCUUCUUGAGUGAUGGAGAGGCAGGCGGAAUUCCGUGUGUAGAGGUGAAAUGCGUAGAUAUACGGAGGAACACCAGUGGCGAAGGCGGCCUGCUGGACAUUAACUGACGCUGAGGCGCGAAAGCGUGGGGAGCAAACAGGAUUAGAUACCCGAGUAGUC
rnacentral:rRNA from 1 species